rnacentral:rRNA from 1 species
CAGUCGAACGGAGAUAUUCGCUGAUGAAGUACUUCGGUAAUGAAUCUUGGCUAUCUUAGUGGCGGACGGGUGAGUAACGCGUGAGCAACCUGCCUUUCAGAGGGGGAUAACGUUUGGAAACGAACGCUAAUACCGCAUGACAUUAUCUUAUCGCAUGGUAGGAUAAUCAAAGGAGCAAUCCGCUGAAAGAUGGGCUCGCGUCCGAUUAGGUAGUUGGUGGGGUAACGGCCCACCAAGCCGACGAUCGGUAGCCGGACUGAGAGGUUGGACGGCCACAUUGGGACUGAGACACGGCCCAGACUCCUACGGGAGGCAGCAGUAAGGGAUAUUGGUCAAUGGGGGAAACCCUGAACCAGCAACGCCGCGUGAGGGAAGACGGUUUUCGGAUUGUAAACCUCUGUCCUCUGUGAAGAUGAUGACGGUAGCAGAGGAGGAAGCUCCGGCUAACUACGUGCCAGCAGCCGCGGUAAUACGUAGGGAGCGAGCGUUGUCCGGAUUUACUGGGUGUAAAGGGUGCGUAGGCGGCUUGGCAAGUCAGUAGUGAAAUCCAUGGGCUUAACCCAUGAACUGCUAUUGAAACUGUCGAGCUUGAGUGAAGUAGAGGUAGGCGGAAUUCCCGGUGUAGCGGUGAAAUGCGUAGAGAUCGGGAGGAACACCAGUGGCGAAGGCGGCCUACUGGGCUUUAACUGACGCUGAGGCACGAAAGCGUGGGUAGCAAACAGGAUUAGAUACCCUGGUAGUCCACGCUGUAAACGAUGAUUACUAGGUGUGGGUGGACUGACCCCAUCCGUGCCGGAGUUAACACAAUAAGUAAUCCA